rnacentral:rRNA from 1 species
UACGUAGGGGGCUAGCGUUGUCCGGAAUCAUUGGGCGUAAAGCGCGUGUAGGCGGUCCGGUAAGUCCGCUGUGAAAGUCGAGGGCUCAACCCUCGAAUGCCGGUGGAUACUGUCGGGCUUGGGUACGGGAGAGGCGAGUGGAAUUCCUGGUGUAGCGGUGAAAUGCGCAGAUAUCAGGAGGAACACCGAUUGCGAAGGCAGCUCGCUGGAACGUUACUGACGCUGAGACGCGAAAGCGUGGGGAGCAAACAGG